rnacentral:tRNA from 1 species
GGCUAUUUAGUCAAAAAAAAAAUGAUUUUAAAUUGCAAAUUUAAAGGUGGACCCAUGUCUUUUAGCC